rnacentral:rRNA from 1 species
UACGUAGGGGGCAAGCGUUGUCCGGAUUUAUUGGGCGUAAAGAGCGUGUAGGCGGUCAGGUAGGUCCGUUGUGAAAACUCGAGGCUCAACCUCGAGACGCCGAUGGAAACCAUCUGACUAGAGUCCGGAAGAGGAGAGUGGAAUUCCUGGUGUAGCGGUGAAAUGCGUAGAGAUGUGGAGGAACACCGAUGGCGAAGGCAGCCCCCUGGGCUAGUACUGACGCUCAUGCACAAAAGCGUGGGGAGCAAACAGG